rnacentral:lncRNA from 1 species
ACCAUGAUUCUAUCAGCUAAUAAACCAGGCUAAUACUAGUAAUGGUAAAACAACAAAUAUUGUUAAUAUUAUAAAAGGUUCUCCUAAUUCUUCAUAUUUGGUGAUCCAGAAGAUGAAAAACAUAAAGACAAGUAGAGUGAUAAGCAUAAGAAAAAAUUUAAACAUUUUGGAAAUAUGAGUAAAAGUUUGAGAAUGGUAUGAAAACUUAUGAGUGAAGGUGAAGUAUUUAUAGGUGAAUUUUAUGAAGUGUCCGUUACGUUACUGUUGGGUUUGUGGCCGUUGGGAGAUAGUGGAAAAAUGUAAGCUUUUACUGUUCAUGGCCGUUAUGUGGCCGUUAGGGGAUAUGAGAAAAGUGUUAAAUUUUAUUGUUUGUUACCGUUGGGAAUGAGUAAAAAUAUUCUAAGUGUGUUAAAAAUCAUCUAGCUCUUAAGAUGCACAAAUGGAGAGAACAACAUGUAAAGUUAUAUGAUGAUAACUUUAAAUAAUAUCAAAUUUCAAAAUCUUAAUUAUAAGUCUCUCGUGAAAUAAUAUUAUUGACUGAGAUUUUAGUCUUCCAUUAAGAAUUAAAGUUAGCAAUAUUAUAGAUGUGGAUUUUAGUCUUCCAUUUAAUAUGAAGAUUAGUAUUAUAGAUGGGGUUUUUGGACACCUCCAUUAAGUAUAAAAGUUAGUCAUACAUAUGGGGUUUUAAUCCCCAUUAAGUAUGAAAGUUAGU